UACGGGGGGAGCUAGUGUUGUUCGGAUUUAUUGGGCGUAAAGGGAGUGUAGGCGGGGGCCUAAGUCAGGGGUGAAAAUUCAAAGCUCAACUUUGAACUUGCCUUUGAUACUGGGUUCCUUGAGUAUGGAAGAGGGCGAUGGAAUUCCUGGUGUAGCGGUGGAAUGCGUAGAUAUCGGGAGGAACACCAGUGGCGAAGGCGGCCACCUGGACGGCUACUGACGCUGAGACGCGAAAGCGUGGGGAGCAAACAGG
rnacentral:rRNA from 1 species